AUAACGAAUCCGUUUGGCUCGGUGCAACUCACAGGGGUGGCUGGUUUUGGUUAAAUGGAGAGAAGAUCACACAGGGCCAUUUCGCGGCAGUAGAUACACAAUCGGAUGGAGAAUGUCUAGUUCUGAAAGGAAAUCAUUAUAUGGGAGAAGACUGUGAUCGCCAUUUUGCUCAUUUGUGUGAAGAGCAAAUAUAAAAAACCCAUUCUU
rnacentral:lncRNA from 1 species